rnacentral:rRNA from 1 species
AGAGUUUGAUCAUGGCUCAGGAUGAACGCUAGCUACAGGCUUAACACAUGCAAGUCGAGGGGCAGCAUUGGGUAGCAAUACUCAGAUGGCGACCGGCGCACGGGUGAGUAACACGUAUCCAACCUGCCGCUUACUCGGGGAUAGCCUUUCGAAAGAAAGAUUAAUACCCGAUGGUAUAAAGAGUUCGCAUGUUCUCUUUAUUAAAGAAUUUCGGUAAGCGAUGGGGAUGCGUUCCAUUAGAUAGUUGGCGGGGUAACGGCCCACCAAGUCUACGAUGGAUAGGGGUUCUGAGAGGAAGGUCCCCCACAUUGGAACUGAGACACGGUCCAAACUCCUACGGGAGGCAGCAGUGAGGAAUAUUGGUCAAUGGACGAGAGUCUGAACCAGCCAAAGUAGCGUGAAGGAUGACUGCCCUAUGGGUUGUAAACUUCUUUUAUAAGGGAAUAAAGUGAGGGACGUGUCCCUUUUUGUAUGUACCUUAUGAAUAAGGAUCGGCUAACUCCGUGCCAGCCGCCGC